rnacentral:rRNA from 1 species
UACGGAGGGUGCAAGCGUUAUCCGGAUUCACUGGGUUUAAAGGGUGCGUAGGUGGCUUUGUAAGUCAGUGGUGAAAGCCCGGAGCUCAACUCCGGAAUUGCCAUUGAUACUGCUUAGCUUGAAUCACGUCGAGGUGGAUGGAAUAAUACAUGUAGCGGUGAAAUGCUUAGAUAUGUAUUAGAACACCGAUUGCGAAGGCAGUUCACUAGGCGUGUAUUGACACUGAGGCACGAAAGCGUGGGGAUCAAACAGG